ACAUUUUCUCUUAGACAUGGAGCUGGCAUUGUCUGUGGGCCACCUUGUCACCAUGGGACAUAAGUACAGAGACCUGGUCCUCUGGGUUAGCUGUCGCAUGCAAGGCUGACGACCUUACACUGUAAUAAUAGUUGUUGCGAAAUUGAUGAUGCAAAUCUUGGUGCACUAGUAUGCGAGACAGAUGUGGCAGAAUCCUGUAAGGAAGUGUGAAGUAGAUACCACAAUGAGAGAAAAACAGAAACUUUAAUUGAUGCUAGUAAGGAGAUUUGUGUAAAAGUAAGUAUGUAUUUAUGUUUCAUCAGCAGAAUGUAGGGCAGAAUCAUGACAUAAAGAUAGCCAACGGAUGCUUUGAUGAAGUGGCACAAUUAAGAUAUUUGAGGAGGACGGUAUACGAAUGGACUGCAGUUUUCCCCGCUAUUGGCGCUGUCGUUGCAGUCGUUGGAGAAUGGUGUGGAGUGGAGUGGAGUGGGGGUAUCGAGGUUGGAAGCCGCGCCACUUGCGGCGACAUUUUGAAGCUAAUAUGUUUAUCUUUAGACAGCCAUUUUGUGAGUUGGAUGAGUUGGAUGGUCUAAGACGAAGAAAGAUUCGUGAGGAUUUUGUUGAAAUGCUAAUUUUGGAGAAUUAAGAAACGUGCUUGGAGUUUGUCACUUGGUGGGCUCUGCGUGACCCGUUUAUGAACUGAUUUGCAACUGUGUGAACAUGCAAAAGCUUCAGUGAUGUGUUUUGUAGAGAUCUGGGGGAAAUGGAUCAGCCUCUGGUCAUCUUCUGUCGCACAAGUGUGUCUUAAUGACUGUGGAAAUAUCACCGCCACAGCAUACUAUGAUUUAUGAGGACCUUUUACUGUCUGCCUGCCUGCCUGUCUUAGUCUGCUUGUGUCUUCGCUUUGAGCCUCCCAGAUUGCAUACCUGUCUUUGCUAUGAAUGCAACUCAGAGUAUUCUUACCUAGUACUCGUAUGCAUGUGUCUUUCAUUGACCUAAGGGAGAAAGUAAAUGUCACUUUCUUGUCCCUGAGGCAAUAUAUUGAAGACGAAGGAAAUGUGGGAAGUCGCUGACUGUCGUGAUCCUGUGUGUUCGUUGACAGAUGGUAGCAGCAGUGAGAGUGUUGUCACUGAAGGAACAGGCAAAAGCCACUAUGAUGUGGUGAUGAGUGUUGGUGAAGAAUGGUCUACUCGUGCGUAUGUUAGAGGGACACAAGUGGUCCUAGUGACGGUCAAAAUGAUACUGC